AAAUUCCACUAGGGGUGCUUGAAUGCUGAGAAAAGGGAAACCUUUAACUCUUCAACCUGAUCUAGUUAACACUAGCGUAGGGAAGUGGAUAAGCAAUGCA
rnacentral:ncRNA from 2 species